AUGCAAGUCGAGCGGUAACAGGUGUAGCAAUACAUGCUGACGAGCGGCGGACGGGUGAGUAACGCUUGGGAAUCUGCCUGUUAGUGGGGGACAACCCGGGGAAACUCGGGCUAAUACCGCAUACGCACUACGGUGGAAAGCCGGGGACCGCAAGGCCUGGCGCUAACAGAUGAGCCCAAGUCGGAUUAGCUAGUUGGUAGGGUAAUGGCCUACCAAGGCGACGAUCCGUAACUGGUCUGAGAGGACGACCAGUCACACCGGAACUGAGACACGGUCCGGACUCCUACGGGAGGCAGCAGUGGGGAAUAUUGGACAAUGGGGGCAACCCUGAUCCAGCGACGCCGCGUGGGUGAAGAAGGCCUGCGGGUUGUAAAGCCCUUUCGGUUGGGAAGAAAAGCUGCGACYUAACACGUCGCGGCCUUGACGUAACCAACUAAAGAAGCACCGGCUAACUCUGUGCCAGCAGCCGCGGUAAUA
rnacentral:rRNA from 1 species